UGCUUAACACAUGCAAGUCGAACGGGAAACCUUUUAUUGAAGCUUCGGCAGAUUUAGAUUGUUUCUAGUGGCGGACGGGUGAGUAACGCGUGGGUAACCUGCCUUGUACAGGGGGAUAACAGUCAGAAAUGACUGCUAAUACCGCAUAAGCGCACAGGACCGCAUGGUCCGGUGUGAAAAACUCCGGUGGUAUAAGAUGGACCCGCGUUGGAUUAGCUAGUUGGUGAGGUAACGGCCCACCAAGGCGACGAUCCAUAGCCGGCCUGAGAGGGUGAACGGCCACAUUGGGACUGAGACACGGCCCAGACUCCUACGGGAGGCAGCAGUGGGGAAUAUUGCACAAUGGGGGAAACCCUGAUGCAGCGACGCCGCGUGAAGGAAGAAGUAUCUCGGUAUGUAAACUUCUAUCAGCAGGGAAGAAAAUGACGGUACCUGACUAAGAAGCCCCGGCUAACUACGUGCCAGCAGCCGCGGUAAUACGUAGGGGGCAAGCGUUAUCCGGAUUUACUGGGUGUAAAGGGAGCGUAGACGGAUGGACAAGUCUGAUGUGAAAGGCUGGGGCUCAACCCCGGGACUGCAUUGGAAACUGCCCGUCUUGAGUGCCGGAGAGGUAAGCGGAAUUCCUAGUGUAGCGGUGAAAUGCGUAGAUAUUAGGAGGAACACCAGUGGCGAAGGCGGCUUACUGGACG
rnacentral:rRNA from 1 species